GCUAGCGGCAGGCUUAACACAUGCAAGUCGAGGGGUAACAUUAGUGCUUGCACUAGAUGACGACCGGCGCACGGGUGCGUAACGCGUAUAGAAUCUACCUUUUACAGGGGGAUAGCCUUUAGAAAUGAAGAUUAAUAUCCCAUAGUAUUGCGAAGUGGCAUCCCUUUGUAAUUAAAGAUUUAUCGGUAAAAGAUGACUAUGCGUCCUAUUAGUUAGUUGGUAAGGUAACGGCUUACCAAGACUUCGAUAGGUAGGGGUCCUGAGAGGGAGAUCCCCCACACUGGUACUGAGACACGGACCAGACUCCUACGGGAGGCAGCAGUGAGGAAUAUUGGGCAAUGGAGGUAACUCUGACCCAGCCAUGCCGCGUGCAGGAAGACUGCCCUAUGGGUUGUAAACUGCUUUUAUACAGGAAGAAACACUGCUACGUGUAGCAGCUUGACGGUACUGUAAGAAUAAGGACCGGCUAACUCCGUGCCAGCAGCCGCGGUAAUACGGAGGGUCCGAGCGUUAUCCGGAAUCAUUGGGUUUAAAGGGUCCGCAGGCGGUCAAUUAAGUCAGAGGUGAAAUCCCAUAGCUUAACUAUGGAACUGCCUUUGAUACUGGUUGACUUGAGUCAUAUGGAAGUAGAUAGAAUGUGUAGUGUAGCGGUGAAAUGCAUAGAUAUUACACAGAAUACCGAUUGCGAAGGCAGUCUACUACGUAUGUACUGACGCUCAUGGACGAAAGCGUGGGGAGCGAACAGGAUUAGAUACCCUGGUAGUCCACGCCGUAAACGAUGGACACUAGUUGUUGGGCAUUAGCUCAGUGACUAAGCGAAAGUGAUAAGUGUCCCACCUGGGGAGUACGAUCGC
rnacentral:rRNA from 1 species